GGACGAACGCUGGCGGCGUGCUUAACACAUGCAAGUCGAGCGGAGAAUAUAGCAAUAUAUUCUUAGCGGCGGACGGGUGAGUAACGCGUGGGUAACCUGCCUUUUACAGGGGGAUAACACUGGGAAACUAGUGCUAAUACCGCAUAAAAUAGUGAAGUGGCAUCACUUUACUAUCAAAAGGAGCAAUCCGGUAAAAGAUGGACCCGCGUCCGAUUAGCUAGUUGGAGGGUAACGGCCCACCAAGGCGACGAUCGGUAGCCGAACUGAGAGGUUGAUCGGCCACAUUGGGACUGAGACACGGCCCAGACUCCUACGGGAGGCAGCAGUGGGGAAUAUUGCGCAAGUUACGGGGGGAAACCCUGACGCAGCAACGCCGCGUGAAGGAUGAAGGUUUUCGGAUUGUAAACUUCUUUGAUUGGGGACGAUAAUGACGGUACCCAAAAAACAAGCCACGGCUAACUACGUGCCAGCAGCUGC
rnacentral:rRNA from 1 species